AUACGGAGGGUGCAAGCGUUAUUCGGAUUUAUUGGGCGUAAAGGGCGCGCAGGCGGCUUGGUAAGUCGGGUGUGAAAUCCCUGGGCUCAACCCAGGAACUGCACUCGAAACUGCCUCGCUAGAGCCUCGGAGAGGGUGGCGGAAUUCCCGGUGUAGAGGUGAAAUUCGUAGAUAUCGGGAGGAACACCAGUGGCGAAGGCGGCCACCUGGACGAUGACUGACGCUCAGACCCGAAAGCGUGGGGAGCAAACAGGAUUAGAUACCCCGGUAGUCC
rnacentral:rRNA from 1 species